rnacentral:ncRNA from 1 species
UUACGGUGUAUGCGUAAUAGCAUACUGAAAAGGGAAUGCGGUGAGAAUCCGCAACAGUCACGCUGCUGUAUGGUGGACGAAAGCCCGAUUAUGCCACUGAAGUGCAUUACUUUGGGAAGGCGGGCGAGUAGGGGGAAGCUAAGUCAGAAUAUCUGCCGUAAUU